rnacentral:rRNA from 1 species
GAUGAACGCUGGCGGCGUGCCUAAUACAUGCAAGUCGAGCGAACAGACGAGGAGCUUGCUCCUCUGACGUUAGCGGCGGACGGGUGAGUAACACGUGGAUAACCUACCUCUAAGACUGGGAUAACUUCGGGAAACCGUAGCUAAUACCGGAUAAUAUAUUGAACCGCAUGGUUCAAUAGUGAAAGACGGUUUUGCUGUCACUUAUCGAUGGAUCCGCGCCGCAUUAGCUAGUUGGUAAGGUAACGGCUUACCAAGGCAACGAUGCGUAGCCGACCUGAGAGGGUGAUCGGCCACACUGGAACUGAGACACGGUCCAGACUACUACGGGAGGCAGCAGUAGGGAAUGUGCCGCAAUGGUCGAAAGCCUGACGGAGCAACGCCGCGUGAGUGAUGAAGGUCUUCGGAUCGUAAAACUCUGUUAUUAGGGAAGAACAAAUGUGUAAGUAACUAUGCACGUCUUGACGGUACCUAAUCAGAAAGCCACGGCUAACUACGUG